rnacentral:lncRNA from 1 species
UUGAUGUUGAAACUAUCCAUGUUCCAGGAACCCUAUGCUCUCAAACUAAAUCCUUAAAACUAAUAUCACAAUUAGGACAUUGUAAAAAUUGCAGAAUUCAACACACGAAUUGUGUUACAACAAACAUAACUACGUAAAUGCCAAAGGAGUUCAACACACGAAUUGUGUUACAACAAACAUAACUACGUAAAUGCCAAAUGAGAUUCACUCCUUAAGAACUCCGGACAAGAUAACUAUUGUAGCUUUGAAAUCGUACCUUGUAAUCUGUUAGGCAUCCAUUUCCUCU